rnacentral:ncRNA from 2 species
GGACCAGCCUCUGGAGAGACCUAUUAUAGGCGCCGAAGGAGCAAAUCUUUUUUAAAGAUAAACUCUCAGGCAAAAGGACAGAGGAAGUGAA